AGUUAUGAACUCUUGAAUCGUAAAUGCAAUUGGCUUAACUAUUUGAUUGAUAACUUAUUUGUAUUUGUUAAUUAAGGGUCGACACUUAAUUGGCAUGCAUAAAUCCGUUGCUAGAAUAUAAGGAAGUUUCACAUAAUCGUUACAAACUUAUAUUCACAUGUAGUGAAGGUCGCUUAUAAACGAUCGUGUUAAGUUCAAUUCCUAGCAUAAGUGACAUGAUGUCAUAGUUGCAAGUGCUUUGUCAAUGCUUAUGAUUUUCAUUAAAUGUAAUGAUCUUUGAUUGCAUCUCUAUUAUGAUGUCAUGUAGGGAACUUUUGAAGAAUGUUUUGGAUUGUCGAAUGAUGUCAUCCAAUCCAAUAAAACAAGGAAAAUCUGAGAGUUAACUAGUGAUGUCACGGUUAAUUUGGAGCAUUGUCGUUCAUAAUUCAAUGAAGUAGUAACUGGAAAUCGAGUUAUUUGCAUACAUGUCAUGUGUGGAGAAAAAGCCUCUAGCUAUCCCAUCCAUCAUCUUAUUUCUCAAAUUUGUUUUACAAUCUGUCUAGUUUUUCAUACUUGUUUGUUUGUUUCAACUUCGUCCAAAACUCAAUCCCCCUUUACUUUAGUGUGUCGAAUUAGUUAGAAUUUGUUUUAAUUUGUGUUUUUAAAUGUUUUGAUUCAAGUAAAAGUCAAUUUUCGUCCAAAGUCAUUCCUAGUGUCUAAUUUAAGUUUAUUUAGUUGUUCUAAGCUGUUUUGAGUAUUUUAAGUUUGCUUUGAGUCUUGUGAGUCUUGUUAAGUAUUUUUAAGUUUAGUUUUAUGUUUUUGAGUCAGUUUAGAGGUUCUUAGCAAGCACUCCUAAUCCCCGGUCCAGAACGAUCCCUACUUAUAUUUAUACUACAGUUGUCAAAAGAGGGUUAAAUUUGUGUGUUAAGAUAAUUUUCGCAUCACGUGACAACUUGAAAACACAAAGGGCAUGAAAGCCCAAUGAACCCACAUGGCUGACCAUAGAGAGUGUGAGGGAGAAUAGGUUUUAAUUUCAAUUAUGCCACUCAAUGUGAAUGGCUAUAUAAAGGAAAUUAUAACCCAUUCCCUCAAAAGUGGUUUUCUAGAUAGAAAAGAGAAAAACACAAAAAACUCUCUCUUCUCUUAAGAGGCCGGCCACCUUAGGAAGAAUGGACUAGCAUCCAUUUCUUCCUAGGUCACUCAUCUCUUCCUCAAUGCUCUCCUUGGUGUGGAAACUUAGAGGUUCCCUUUCUUGGGAACUUGGAGAAUCCAUUCCUUCAUCCAUAUCCAAGAAGUCAUGGAGCCAAGAAGAAAAGUUCCUCCAUCCAUAUCUAUGGAGCCAAGGAGCAAGGAGACUAAGGAAAGAAGGCCCUCACAUAGGUGAAUAUCCUUUGCUAAGCAAAUGGGUGCUUCAAAGGUAUAAAAGUUUCUCAACUCUUUUCCUUAAGAUUUGAGUUGAGUCUUGGUUCACCACUACUAGGCCUUGAAUCUCAUGGGUAAAGUUUUUGUUUUUGAGUGCAUACAAGCAUGAUUCCUCCUUUAAUUGAUAAUUGUAUGCAUAGAUGUUGCUCAAAUGAACUUGUUUUCACAAAUUAUUCCUUCAAGUGGUAUAAGAGCCUAGGUUUAGUAGUUGGUGAAUCCUUUUGGGUUUUGUAUUUUAAUAGUUUAUUAUUUGAAUGUUGUAAUUGUUACAAGCUUUAUUCUUACUUUUUUGAAUGUAAAUUUUGUUAGAAAAUUUGCCAUCUCAAAAGUUGUAGAUGUAGUUCAUUUAAGUAUGAAUUUUGGAGCUAAAAUUUGGUGCCAUGUUUGUGGGGAAAUUCGGCCAAAUCCAAGGGGUAGAUUUUUGGGUUUUUGUUUGUCUUGUUAAAAGUGUUUUAAAGUGACAUUAGGAACCCCUAAGUACCAUAGGAUGUUAACCCUCUUUUAAGUUGUGAAAAUUUGAGUUUUAUUGAGUGAAAACAUUCAUGGAGCUCUUAUGGAUUUUCAUGGAUGUUCUUCAAUGUUCUUGCUGUUCAUAGUAAGAACAAAAAGUUUGUUGUUUUGAUUCAAAAAGGUGUUUGGUUGUUUAUUUGUUUUUGUUAGUGAUGGAUGAUAUGAUUUUUUAAACAACACCCAUACCUUUUUACUAUUCGCACCAUACCAAUCACUUACAACUUUCAAUCACCUUUCAAACACACAAAUCAACUCACACACACCAUCACUAUGUUGGAAGUAUGCCCACAAAGCCACUCAUUUGAUGUAAUAACUUUUGGAAUACUUAUUGUGUUAAACUAUUAUAUGUUUAAUAAAGGGCAAAUCUUAUUGUUAAUCACUAUUUAAUGUAUUAUGUGUUUAAGCAAUAAGGGAAUCCAAGGAAUGUAUUUAACCUAAGAGAGAAGUGAUCUAAGUAAGUUAGAUUAACGAGACCUUUCUCUUAUGUUCAUUCCUAAAACAUUCCUAGCCAUAGGAUUGACAAUUGGGCAUUGACAAUCCGCUAAGGUUAGUAUGUGUUAUGUUAACUCAAGUGUGAGUAUGACUAGUCUUAAGUCAUUUAGUGUUGGACACUGGGACAAACACAUAGGUGCUCAAAAGGUAAUUGAGUACAUUGAACAAUGAUAAAAAAGGAGUUCGAACAUAAAUGUCAUGUAAGAACUCUUAAGUUGCAAUAUGCAAAGUAAUCAUUUGACCUAAGGCAUUAUAGACGUCUAAUGGUUGGAUCCUUGAUCUUUGAUCAUGUUAAAGGCAUUCCAUUGAGAAUGUCCACAUUGUUGGGGUCAAACUAUCUAGUCAUGUAGGCAUAUGAAUGCACAACAAGGGAUCUCUAACCUUCCAUGGUGGAGGGAGAAUACUUUGAGAUAUGAUUCGGGAGUCUUUGGCCAAAGCAUACGAAUAUGACUUAGGAAGUUUGUUCCAAAUCAUAUUCAAUUGAAUCAUAUAAAGAAGUAUCACAUUGGAUAGUAGACAUGAAACAAACUAUCACUCAACCAAUGUGAUUAAGAGUAUCGUAUUAAAGAAUGACCGUAUUGCAUUGUAAUUGAACUGGAUAGGUUUUCCAACCACUUCUACUUAGCUUGGGUAGCCAUGACAUACUGCUAGGUGUCACUCAUGGUCUGUGGAAGCCCUGAGGAUUAGCAAGCACUAAUCUUCUUCAAAGGGAGAAUUGAAAUGUGGUUUCAAUUCACAAUCGAUCGUUAAGAGUAACAAUCGCCAUUGCCUCGCUAAUUGGAACCUAAUGGAUCGUACACCGAGUAAGGAUGAAAGUGAAGAAAUAUAAAUGAGAUGGAUAAGCAAUUAAAUGGUUUAAUUAAGAAUGAUCAAGAUUAAUUAAUUAGUUGAUUAAUUAUAUGAAAGGUUCGUAUUGGGCUUUCAAUUUAAUUUCGGGUCUCCGAGGCCCAAAAGUGUUUUGGUCCACAAGGCCCGUUAUGUUUAAGUUGUAUGAAAACUAAAACAAAAUGGGCAAUUAGCCCAAUAACAAAGUCAAGGCCGGCCAUAAGGGUUAGUGGAAGCAAACUUUGAUUAAUUGCAAGUUUGCCACUCACAUGUGAGGUAAUAUAAAGUCAACUUUAUAGCCUUUUACUCACUAGGGUUUUCUUGAGGCAAAGAAAAGAAACUUUUUCUCUCCUUUUUCUCUAUAUAGGCCGGCCUACCUAGGGAAGUUUACUAGCACCUAACUUCCUCUAGGUAAUCCAUUUCAUCUUCACACCAUCAUCCUUGGUGUGGAGACUUAGAGGUACCAAACCUUUGGUACUUUUAGAGUUCCUUUCCUCACAUCCUCAAGGAGCAAGAAGAGCAUCAAAAGGAAAGAAAAUCACAAGGAAGAUCUAAGGAGCUAGGAGGUGACUUGAAGGCCCUCCACUUGGGUGAAUCCAUUGUGUAAACAAGGAUGAGCUUCAAGGGUAAUGAAUCUCAAAAUCCUUUCUUCUCUUUAAUGUUGUUAAAGAGUCUUAUGGUUCACCAUUCACUAGGCUUUGAAAGUCAUGGGUUUUAGAAUUGGUUUUUGAAUGCAUGCCUACUUUAAAGUGUUAUUAGUUUGCAUGUGUUCAAAUGUUCUCGCAUGUUCUUAGCUAGGACAAAAAUUUUCCUUCACACUACUCACCAUGACCAGCCACCCCUAUAAUGGGGGUACUAUUGAGGCUUUUAUGUAAUUACAUAAAGUUUUGAUAUUUUUGUAUAUUUACACUUUGACCCAAAAGUUUACGUUUUCACGUAAAGGCCCAAAAUCACUAAAGGACAAAUUGUUUUGCUCCCUUAAUGAAGUUUUUGUAUUUGUUGAAAUUUUGGGUUCUAGUUGUAAUUACAUGAAGUAGUGGACUUUUGUGUUUUUAGAAAGUGACCUCAAAAGUUUGUAUUUUGCAAUAUAGCCCAAAAUUUGAUGUUAUUACAUUUUGGCCCAAAUUAGUUAAGAACAAAAUAGUUUUGUCUCUUUAAAUGAGAAUUGGAUUUUCACUUCAUUUAGCUCCAUUUAAAUCUAUUCUAUGGAUACAAAAACCAAAUGACAAUGUUGCAUUCAAGUUUAAUUAGUUAAAGCGUUAAUUAAUUAAAGAAAGGGUGAUUAUGAACCUAACCUUAUGAUAAUUGAGCUAUGUGAAAAGCCGUCUCUCAAAUUUGUUUGAACCAUGGGAAUGUGUAGAUUAGUUUUUGGUUGUAAUUUGAUAUGAUCAAAUGUUGUAAAAUAGCAUAAGCUCUUCUUUACUUUAAAGUAUUUUGAUUUGAUCAAAUGUUGUAAAAGAGCAUAAGCUCUUUACUUUGAAGUACUCCUCUCUUGUUUUAUUUGAUAUGCAUGAAAUUGGAGUAGUUGGGUCCAACGCCCAAUAAGAAAACACGCCUUAAUGUGAUUAAACACGUAAGUAAAAUCAAUCAUCAUCCCUAGACCGAGAUCCAACACUAGGCUUAUGUUAGAUCAAAUCAAAGGUUCAUAGUCAUCAUAAGGCCCUAAGGCAACUAUAUAGUCCAUCAAUGAAUGCAAAGCUUAUGUUAAUAGUACCAUAUACUCUUGCUUUAAAAAUAGUUUUACAAGCAUAGUGAGACUAUCAUAUACUACUAAAUCAAUCACAUGGACCAAUAGUUGUAAUAGGACCAAAUUGUUUUAAUGAGAUUAAAAUGCAUGCUUAUAUGUGAUGAGACCUAAAAACCCUCAACUAAGCCGUUAUUAAGUUGACAAGCGUGAGAGUGCUUUGAACACUCUUUCGUGGCCUUCCACCAUGGUAGGCUCCUACCGUUUAUGACUCAACUUAAUCAAUUUAUAUUUGCUAUGUAUUUAUUUACCGAUAUAUUUGCAAAUGCUAUCCAAAACUUGACAACGAAAAGUCGAAGGUUUUAGUUUCCAAACUUGGUACCAUAAUCCCAUAGAUUAUCUUGAAUGGAUUGUAUAUGUACAUAAGUAGUCUCAUCCUCAUAAUCUUCCUAUUGAUAAUGUAUCAUUGGAAGAACAAGUUAGAUAAGUCUAUCAUAAAGAGGACAACACAAACAACAAAUGUUUAUUCCUUUGUUGUAUGAACAAAGGAACUUGAGAAGAUUAGCACAAAGGCAUGGACACUUUUAGUGUCAUAAUUCUUCCAUUACAAAUCGUUGUAUGAAGAAAUAAGAGUUACUUUGAACAAUCCUUAGUUAAAGCAAACACUAGUGCUUGUUUCUUUUUUAAAUGAACAAGGAACUUGAGAAGUAAGCACAAGGGCAUGGUCACUUAAUGUGCCAUGACUCUUCACUUACAAAUUGUUGUAUGAAGAAAUGAGAGUUGCCUUGAACAACUCUUGAAAGUUUGUAAUUAUGUUUAGAACAUAAUGGUUGAUUGACAAAAAUAGUCCAUCAACAUGGACUUAUGAUGAUUUUGAAUCAUUGAGUGUUAAAGUGUUAAACCACUUCAGGAGAUGGAAACUAGGCAAGGACUUCACUUUUGAGUCCUUAUCCAAAUGGUUCACUAAGUUUAUUGUAAACUCUAUAGUGAACAAUAACCGCACGUUCUCCAAAUCGUUUGAUGUGUAUAACACAAUUGAAAUAAGUUUCAAGAGAGAUAGUGGAGUUUAAGGGACCAUGACUAUUGUAGUCA
rnacentral:lncRNA from 1 species